AUACCAAAACUGCAAUAAUUGAAACCUUGGGCUUACCUGAAUGAGAGGGUUAGGGGGCCAUGAAUGAGGGUCAGCGGAAAAAAGCCCUGGAGGCUUUUCACACAGGGCUUUUAUUGUGAAUCCACUCCUAUUAGCUGGAUUUACCCCGACAUCCCUGCGGGCUAUCAGGGACCAUGACAGGCAGGACUUUGAUUUUCCCCGAAUGGGGGCUGAGAAUUCUGGCUUAGCCCGAAGUAUGCCCGGUUGGAUUCUUCUAAUGGUCAUCUCUGCUCUUACACAAAUGGGCUUUGCGCCUGCGCAGAUACCUCGUCGGAGCUUCUCCAAGCUAGAUCCUCUCAGCUUUUGGUGGUUGCUCCGCCCCCACUGGCUAUAUGCAGCUGCGUGGGCUUCCCUCUUCAGUCUUCUGAGUCCGCUAUCUGAAAAAGACUACAGAGGGAAGGGAAGGCGGGCAUGUAAGAGCACAGAUGACCACUAGAAGAACCCAAGUUACAGGUAAGCAACCCAACAUUCUUUGACAUGGUCUCUGUGUUUUACACGAAUGGGCGCAUAGCAAGCUGCACCCAGUGCCCGACUUACCUGGAGGUGGGUCUCAGGAAAAUACAGACUGCAACACUGCCCUGCUGAAGGAGUCAUCCCUUCAGGCACGAAUGUCAAGGGCGUAUUGUUGCAUGAAGGAAUGUUGGGAAGCCCACGUAGCAGCCUGGCAAAUAACGUCGAGUGGGAUAGAACUAUCAAAGGCCAUGGACGCUGCCAUGGCUCUAGUGGAGUGGGCCUUAAUGGAGGGUGGCAGUGGCCAUUUUGUGAUCUGAUAGGCCAAUGUGAUGGCGCGCACUGCUCAAUGGGAUAUUGUCUGUGCAGAAGCCUGAGCACCCUUGUGUGGGCUGGAGUGAGUGAUGAAGAGGAAGUGAGAGGCACGCCAAGCAGCAGUUCGAUCCACGUAAUAGGCCAGAGCGCACCGGACAUCUAAGGAGUGGAGUCGAUGCUGUGCAUCAUCUGAAGGAUUGGGGAAGAAGACAGGGGACCAAAGACCUUGGAGGUGGUGGUCCAGGGUGUGGGCACCCCACCCCUGUUCGGAGGCAUCCGUGGUGAGGAGCAGGCGGUGCUGGAGAAGAUGGAAGGGGGAUCCAACAACGAGGGUCCAAGGUGUGCGUGCUGCCCUCAGGGUCGCUGAGCUCGGGAUCGAGGUCAACAGUAUCAAAGGCACUGUCAGAUCUGAAGGCAAAGUUUGAGCCGUAGGCUCAGAAGCUGGAGGAUUACAUUUGGAGGAACAGCCAUACUAUGAUGGAGCAGAGCUGAGUUCAGUUCUCUGCAGUGAAGAACUACAGCAUUUACCUGAGUACAAGAGGACUCUGAAUUCAAGACAAGCCCCUUAAAAAAACAGAGCUCCAGCCCUGCUUCCUUCCACCACCCGACCUUGCCAACCAAUUUGAUGGACAGACCGGCCAAGAAAUCAAAUACAGAUGCAGUUGUCUUUCUUGUCCCUUCUCCUGUGCUUUGGAUGGGCUGUGAGCCUUUCAAAAAUAAAUACAUGGAAAUACACACACACAACAUA